rnacentral:misc_RNA from 1 species
UGAAGAGCCAUCUUGUCCGAAGGCCCUCGGUGACUUGGUGGAGUCUUGUAUGGGUGCAAUCCUACUUGACACAGGGUUUGACUUGAACCGUGCUUGGCAAAUUAUACUCUCCUUCUUAAAGCCCGUCAUGAGCUUUACCAGGUUGCAACUUAAUCCGACAAGGGAACUCUAUGAACUUUGUCAGUCUUUUGGCUGGAAUUUAAAGUUCCUGCCGUCAAAAAAAGAUGGCAAUUUUCUAGUUGAGGCCAGGGUAAAUGGGGAGAAUGUUUCUGCAGCUGCUUCUGCUCUCAAUAUUAAUAAAAAAUCUGCUCAAAGAAUGGCUGCACAAAUAGUAUGCUCAAGCUUGAAGGCUCAAGGCUACAGGCCCAA